AAACAACGACAACAAAAAAUAAAAAUAGUCAUAAAAGAUAUAUAAAAGCGACCACUGAUUGAUAUAAAUUACAUGAAAUAUGGCCAAUCUUAAUGCAUAAAAUACGUUUUAACAUUAUUCUAACACGCUUCACACUUUUCCCUUAUCAAACAAACACAAGCGCUUAAUGACAUGAUAUCUAUACACAGCUUAGAAACGACUGCUUAAUAUAACACCCAGAAAAAUCUUUUGCGCACAUUGCAGUCUGACAUAUUUUUGUUUAUCAAUUUUGUAUUUUAUUAGCAUGUAGGAAUGGAAAUAGAUACCAGUAAUUCAAUUUGACUUUGUAAAUGGUCAUGUGGAAACUGGUGUAUGAUUUAAUGAAUGUAAUCGGACAUUUCCUUAGAAUUCUUAACAUUUAUCACCCAAAUUUUGCCAUCAUGCUAAGUACAAGCAAACAUCCCCCGAAAUGAACUACAACAAAAUUAAUAAUGACAAUGCAUGAAAUAAUCAUUUUACAUCUAAACAAACAAACAAACAAACAAUUAAACAAACAAAUAAACAAACA